rnacentral:rRNA from 1 species
CCUACGGGAGGCAGCAGUAGGGAAUUUUCGGCAAUGGGGGGAACCCUGACCGAGCCACGCCGCGUGAACGAAGAAGUUACUCUUAAUGUUAAGUUCUUUUAACAGGGAAGUAAGAGAAAUUUCACGUUACCUGAAGCAUAAGCUCCGGCUAACUACGUGCCAGCAGACGCGGUAAUACGUAGGGAGCAUGCGUUAUCGGAGAUAAUUGGGCGAAAAGGGUGGGUAGAUGGCAUAGUAAGUCUUUUGGAAAAAUGCUGGGCUAAACCCAGUAGGGCAAAAGAUACUGGAAAGCUAGAGUAUGACAGAGGCAAGUGGAACGAGAGGUGUAGCGGUAAAAUGCGUAAAUAUAUGGAAGAACACC